rfam:Asian citrus Psyllid, Diaphorina citri - Florida Strain, whole genome shotgun sequence.
GCCUAGUUAGUUUGGUUGGUAAAACGUCUGCCUUGUAAGGGCUGGGCCGCGGGUUAGAUUCCCGCCCUGGGCG